rnacentral:misc_RNA from 1 species
AACGCAUAUUGCGCUCUCUGGUAUUCCGGAGAGCAUGCUUGUUUGAGUAUCAGUAAACACCUCAACUCCCCUUUCUUUUUUUUAAAUGGGAGCUGGACUUGAGUGAUCCCAACGCUUUUCCUCACCGAAAAGUGGCGGGUUACUUGAAAUGCAGGUGCAGCUGGACUUUUCUCUGAGCUAAAAGCAUAUCUAUUUAGUCUGCCUAAAAAACAGAUUAUUACCUUUGCUGCAGCUAACAUAAAGGAGAUUGGUUCUUGUGCUGACUGAUGCAGGAUUCACAGAGACAGCUUCGGCUGGCUUUGUAAACUCGAUCUCAAAUCAAGUAAGACUACCCGCUGAACUUAA